rnacentral:rRNA from 1 species
UACGGAGGGUGCGAGCGUUAUCCGGAAUUACUGGGCUUAAAGGGUGCGUAGGCGGCCGGGUAAGUCAGGCGUGAAAGUUUGCGGCUCAACCGUAAAAUUGCUUUUGAUACUGCCGGGCUAGAAUUAGGAUGAGGUCAGCGGAAUGUGGCAUGUAGCGGUGAAAUGCAUAGAUAUGCCAUAGAACACCAAUUGCGAAGGCAGCUGGCUAGACCUGGAUUGACGCUGAGGCACGAAAGCGUGGGGAGCGAACAGG